rnacentral:rRNA from 1 species
GUCCUCCCAACAGAACAAACCCCCCGGCGUAAAAUGCGCCAAGGAAUCUUAAAUGAAAAGAGAAGGUAACCAGCACCCUAGCGUGCCGGGAAAGGAAUUUCCAAGGGGGGGUGGGUUCCUUUGUUAAAAACUAAAUGAAUUUCCGCAACCGAUAUUUUGGGUCUCCCCUCCAUUAAAAAAGUAACGAAAUGGGAUACUUGGGGGGGAUUUGAAAAUCCCGUGAACCAUCCAAUUUUUGAACGCCAGUUGGCCCCAAAGGCCUCCGGGCCAAGGCACGUCUGGCUGGGUGGCAUGGACCGGUGGCCCAUCCAACUUCCUUUGGGGGGAAAACGGAAUAAGGGCGGAAAAUGGGCUCCCGUGGGGCCCCGGUUCCGGGUGGGCAAAAUUUGAAUCCUUGGUGAUAAUGGCACG